AGGAUAGAUAUUCAAAGAUUAGGAGCGAAGAUUCGAUAUCCAUAUGUGCAUUGUAUUUGUCGUGAUUGAAACGGCACCAGGAACAUAUCAGGAUAGACAACAAAAGUCUAGUGAGAAAAAUGUUAUGAAACACCAGCAAAAAAGAUUAGAUUGUUAUUCAGUCCUGACUAAAACAGUGUUUCUGAAGAUGGAGAUUAGAUCAGGCCUAUCCAGAAGCAAGAAAAAGAACAAUUCAUAGCACGUACAUCUACAGAGAGAGACAUGUUUAAAAAAAC